AGCGGAGAGAGUGCUUAACACUCUGCAAUCGUUCCCUCGUGGCGUGGACUGUGUUGAUCCACUUGGAAUGGGAAUAGUAGACAACAAGACCUUCAGGUUGGUCAAUGAUUCAUCUGAAAGCACUCGCGUUGAGAAAGAUCAUAUCGACAGUAACGUCUGUGAGAAGUUGAUGUAUUUCUCUGAAAAACUUGAUGCAAAGUUGUUUCUGUCCCGGAUACACCAAGAUACACCUGCUGCAAACUUGG